rnacentral:rRNA from 1 species
GAUGAACGCUGGCGACGUGCCUAAUACAUGCAAGUCGAGCGAACAGACGAGGAGCUUGCUCCUCUGACGUUAGCGGCGGACGGGUGAGUAACACGUGGAUAACCUACCUAUAAGACUGGGAUAACUUCGGGAAACCGGAGCUAAUACCGGAUAAUAUAUUGAACCGCAUGGUUCAAUAGUGAAAGACGGUUUUGCUGUUACUUAUAGAUGGAUCCGCGCCGCAUUAGCUAGUUGGUAAGGUAACGGCUUACCAAGGCAACGAUGCGUAGCCGACCUGAGAGGGGGAUCGGCCACACUGGGACUGAGACACGGUCCCGACUCCUACGGGAGGCAGCAGUAGGGAAUCUUCCGCAAUGGGCGAAAGCCUGACGGAGCAACGCCGCGUGAGUGAUGAAGGUCUUCUGAUCGUAAAACUCUGUUAUUAGGGAAGAACAAAUGUGUAAGUAACUAUGCACGUCUUGACGGUACCUAAUCAGAAAGCCACGGCUAACUACGUG